AUUUUGACUAGUAACGUCGUUGCUUGACUAAUAUAACCAACACUCUUGAAAUAUCAGAAUUUUAAAUUUGAACAGUUGUGUCAAGAACGAAGUAUCGCUUACAGUCGUUUUGAAGGAUGAGGUUGAACCUCAUCCUCCCAAAUGCAAAACUAAACGCGAACCGACGACUCGAUCAUCGACAACUUGGAAAAAUGCGGCCUAAAAGUCAAAUGUAAGCUGCUGAUUGUUUGGAUACAAACGGUUGUGACGUGGAUACGACAACGCCUGCAAACAUCUACUUUGGCUUUCGAACGAAAAGUGCCGCUACCGAUUCUAUUUUUCAUUUAACGUAAAUAAAACUCGCAGCGUGAAACUUUUCCAGCGACUACAGUAAUAACAAUAUUGCAUUAUAUCUUACACAAAACUUCAUUCGAGAAAUGUACCGACAUCUA